GAUGAACGCUAGCUACAGGCUUAACACAUGCAAGUCGAGGGGCAGCAUGAACUUAGCUUGCUAAGUUUGAUGGCGACCGGCGCACGGGUGAGUAACACGGUAUCCAACCUUCCGUUACUCAGGGAUAGCCUUUCGAAAGAAAGAUUAAUAUCUGAUAGUAUGGUGAGAUUGCAUGAUAACACCAUUAAAGAUUUAUUGGUAAACGAUGGGGAUGCGUUCCAUUAGGUAGUAGGCGGGGUAACGCCCACCUAGCCUGCGAUGGAUAGGGGUUCUGAGAGGAAGGUCCCCCANAUUGGAACUGAGACAC
rnacentral:rRNA from 1 species